AGUGAACGCUGGCGGUAGGCCUAACACAUGCAAGUCGAACGGCAGCACAGUAAGAGCUUGCUCUUACGGGUGGCGAGUGGCGGACGGGUGAGGAAUACAUCGGAAUCUACUUUUUCGUGGGGGAUAACGUAGGGAAACUUACGCUAAUACCGCAUACGACCUACGGGUGAAAGCAGGGGAUCUUCGGACCUUGCGCGAUUGAAUGAGCCGAUGUCGGAUUAGCUAGUUGGCGGGGUAAAGGCCCACCAAGGCGACGAUCCGUAGCUGGUCUGAGAGGAUGAUCGGCCACACUGGAACUGAGACACGGUCCAGACUCCUACGGGAGGCAGCAGUGGGGAAUAUUGGACAAUGGGCGAAAGCCUGAUCCAGCCAUACCGCGUGAGUGAAGAAGGCCUUCGGGUUGUAAAGCCCUUUUGUUGGGAAAGAAAAGCAGCAGAUGAAUACCCCGCUGUUCUGACGGUACCCAAAGAAUAAGCACCGGCUAACUUCGUG
rnacentral:rRNA from 1 species